AUAGAGGUGUGGAUAACACAUUGUCUCAACCCUCUCCGCUCCUGUAAUCGCACCAGGCAAAAUUAAAAUGGGGGUUUAAAGGCAAAAUGCUGCUUGUUUCCAAGCUAAGGCUCAGACCGGGUUGUCAGCAAAAUGCCAAUUUGUUCUUGUCACUGCCAAAUUUGGCAGCAGGCCAGGGGCAGGAGUGUGACUGGGGGUGGGAGAAGUCCAGGGUUGGAAGCUGUCCACCAGGCCACCCAAGAUGGCAGACCAUGGAUCUGAUCUCCAAAGGGAUGGUGAUCGACUGAUCUAGUAGAGAAAGCACGGAGCAUGACUUGGUGCUGCUAUAAAAUGCACCCUAGAGCUCUACCAGAAUCUUCUUGAGUUUUGACCACUCCUGAACAUUAGUAGUGGCUGAUACUUCAUCUGCAGGCAGCAUGCCAGUUAUUCCAACUGUAGUCACUUCACUGUCAAGAAAACUGAGGAUCACCAAGAACCUGAAAAAUCACCAUCAGCUUUUUUGUCACUUUCUAAUAUUCAAUCAAUAGUAAUUCCUGACUGCAUCUUUUCAUAACCUGCACAUUAAACUGGAAACCAGACUUGGGUCACCACCUUGCACUGUAGAGGAAGACUCGUGGUAAUCGUGGUAAUACUAAUAAUACUAAUACGAAUACUAGGCCUUCUUCCCAGGUUGCCUUUGACUUGUGGGAUUUGCAGCUUGCUGACCUCAUGGUUUCUGCCGUACGCAGGGAGCAGAGAGGGGAAGGCAUGGCGGUGUCAGGAUCAAAGGCCUAAUUGUCUGUUUCCUCGAAGUCUGAGUUAUUGGCAGCUGCCAUUACAGCAUCCCGCAUGCUGUCACACGGCACAACCAACCAGCACCCACUAAUUGCAGUGGCCUUUUCAUCAAGUAAGAUCAUCCGGCUAACCUCCGAGAGCUGUCUCUCCAUUAGCACCGCCGGCAAGCUAGCCAGAUCAGCCAGGCUACUUGGGCAUGAUUGGACUGUCAUAUUGUUAUGAUUUGUUCAAGUUUAGAGCAUUUAGCAGAUACCCUUUGCACCUCUCUUUGUACCUGAAUCCUAUAACCUGCCUGCCCCUAUCAUUUAAGAGGCUACUGUAGCUUUUCAAAGUUCAGCAAUGCACAAUUGCAGGCAGGCAACUGGUCUCUGACAAGAGAUCAAUACUGUCCUUCCGAAUGCUGGAGUCAAGCUGCUGGGUCUGUCAGAGGGACGUGCGCUGUAAUUGGAUCAUAGAUGCAGCGAGUCAUCUGAGCCUCCCUUCAGCACUGUCACAGCUGUCAGAUGUCAUCCCUUUGUACAGCUGUCACUGCGGGAGGGUUGUGGCUCUUUUUUUCCUGUUCUAACCCAAUGCAAAUGUCCACUUAGCAGAUGAAUAUUGAAGAUAUUAGACACUUCUUUAUGCCUUUAUGCAAAAUAAAGAUCUGUGUCAUCUGUGAAUUUCAUGGAAAUAAGUUGCAAUUUAUUCACUGUGAGAAAAGGGAAGUGAAGCCUGUAAAAAUGAGAAAUUAUUUGGUUCAGGCUAUUAAAAAAAGAGAGACAGAAUAUUUUACAGAAUAAACAAAAUAUGGAG